rnacentral:rRNA from 1 species
AGCGAACGCUGGCGGCAGGCUUAACACAUGCAAGUCGAACGGGCAUAGCAAUAUGUCAGUGGCAGACGGGUGAGUAACGCGUGGGAACGUACCUUUUGGUUCGGAACAACACAGGGAAACUUGUGCUAAUACCGGAUAAGCCCUUACGGGGAAAGAUUUAUCGCCGAAAGAUCGGCUCGCGUCUGAUUAGCUAGUUGGUAGGGUAAUGGCCUACCAAGGCGACGAUCAGUAGCUGGUCUGAGAGGAUGAUCAGCCACAUUGGGACUGAGACACGGCCCAAACUCCUACGGGAGGCAGCAGUGGGGAAUAUUGGACAAUGGGCGAAAGCCUGAUCCAGCCAUGCCGCGUGAGUGAUGAAGGCCCUAGGGUUGUAAAGCUCUUUUGUGCGGGAAGAUAAUGACGGUACCGCAAGAAUAAGCCCCGGCUAACUUCGUG